rnacentral:rRNA from 1 species
AUUGAACGCUGGCGGCAGGCCUAACACAUGCAAGUCGAGCGAGCGGCGGACGGGUGAGUAAUGUAUGGGGACUGCCCGAUAGAGGGGGAUGAGUACUGGAAACGGUGGAUAAUACUGCAAACUGUCGGAUAACCCAUAUGGGAUUAGCUAGUAGGGGGGGUAAAGGCACACCUAGGGGACGAUGUCGAGCUAGUCUGAGAGGCUGAUCAGCCAAACUGGGACUGAGACACGGCCCAGACUCCUAAGGAGGCAGCAGUGGGGAAUAUUGCGAAAUGGGCGCAAGCCUGACGGAGCCAUGCCGCGUGUAUGAAGAAGGUCUUAGGUUUGUAAAGUACUUUCAUCGGGGAGGCGUUAUCCACACAGGAAGCACCGGCUAACUCCGUGCCAGCAGCCGCGGUAAUAC